UACGUAGGUGGCAAGCGUUGUCCGGAUUUACUGGGCGUAAAGGGCGUGCAGGCGGUCUGUUAAGUUCAGGGUGAAAGCUCCCGGCUCAACUGGGAGAGGUCCUUGGAUACUGGCAGACUUGAGGGAGGUAGAGGAGAGCGGAAUUCCCGGUGUAGUGGUGGAAUGCGUAGAGAUCGGGAGGAACACCAGUGGCGAAGGCGGCUCACUGGACCGGUACUGACGCUGAUGCGCGAAAGCGUGGGGGAGCAAACGGG
rnacentral:rRNA from 1 species